rnacentral:rRNA from 1 species
UACGAAGGGGGCUAGCGUUGUUCGGAAUUACUGGGCGUAAAGGGAGCGUAGGCGGCUCUAUAAGUUGGAUGUGAAAGCCCCGAGCUUAACUUGGGAAUAGCACUCAAUACUGUAGAGCUAGAGAGUGAUAGAGGAUGAUGGAAUUCCUAGUGUAGAGGUGAAAUUCGUAGAUAUUAGGAGGAACACCAGUGGCGAAGGCGGUCAUCUGGGUCACAACUGACGCUAAGGCUCGAAAGCGUGGGGAGCAAACAGG